UACGAAGGGGGCUAGCGUUGUUCGGAAUUACUGGGCGUAAAGCGCACGUAGGUGGCGACGUAAGUCGGGUGUGAAAGCCCCGGGCUCAACCUGGGAAUUGCAUUCGAGACUGCAUUGCUGGAGUACGGAAGAGGAAGGCGGAAUUCCCGGUGUAGCGGUGAAAUGCGUAGAUAUCGGGAGGAACAUCAGUGGCGAAGGCGGCCUUCUAGUCCAGUACUGACACUCAAGUGCGAAAGCGUGGGGAGCAAACAGG
rnacentral:rRNA from 1 species